UUUAUUGUAACUAUCUUAAUUAUCUUUAUAUUGAAUUUGUCAGUUUACUGACUAUGACGAUAAACGAAUUUCGUAAUAAACAUUGCGGACGUGGGGGCAGUACCCACCACCUCCACCAUUUUAAAUUUAAAGGGGGGUGAAUUAGGAUCGACGAAUGUCUAAAGGCUGUUCUUUCGUACGAGAUGGUUCCGACGUAACGGGCCAAUUUACAAAUGCUAACGAAAGUUACGCACUUGCUGCUUAAUUAACUUAGUUAAUUAAGUUACGGGGUCUGGGGCACCUGGCAACAGAACGCCCCUACU
rnacentral:tmRNA from 1 species